UAAAUUAAGGUAGAAGUACUAGUGCUCGACGCUGCACUAGUAUUCGACAUGGGCACUUUAUGUCAAAGUGACAAGGAUUAAAUUUGAAUACAGAAAAAUCUUCGCUGUUCAAAUUUAACCUAUAUUACUUUGACAUAAAGUGCCCAUGUCGAAUACUAGUGCAGCGUCAAGCACUAGUACUUCUACCUUAUUUCUUUUACAAUAAUUUAAAUUUCAGCUGCAAACCAGAUUCAGAUCAGAUCUUCACAUGCCAGAGUACCUCUGUCAACAUCAAACAGUGAAAAUGCACAAACUUCAGCUACUGCAUCUACGAGUACAGGCCAAGCUUGUCUGAAAUCUGGAAUAAGCAUUCGACCGGAUAAAGCGGCAAUACCAGCGAAACGCCCCCGCUUUGCUGACAAACAACCUGGCGGAUCUAGGGAUUCUCUAGUUCAGCGGUCGGCAACAAGCGGCCCGCGAGCCCCCCUGGCUAUUUUGUAUGUAAUAUUGUCAAACAACAAUGUCUGAUUAAAGUCACACAUAUUAACAAAAGUGCGGCCCGCGUCAACUUCCUUAACUACUAUGUGGCCCUUGGCUGCUAAAAGGUUGCCGACCGCUGCUCUAGUUUACGCAGCGAGCAAAUCAAAAGACUAGAUUACAAUACAACGAAGAAAGAAUUGCUGAAGAAGCUCAUGAAAGUGAAAUCGAGUUUACUUUAUUAAGAGUCUGCCUAAUAGGUAGCUUAGGACUUUAACCAGAUAAAUUGUUUUUAAAUCCAUCUUUGAAACAUGGUAUCAAAGAGAAUUUUGAAUAGAGAGUUACUGUCAUGGUAAAUUAUG